ACGUAGGGUGCGAGCGUUAAUCGGAAUUACUGGGCGUAAAGCGUGCGCAGGCGGUUAUAUAAGACAGUUGUGAAAUCCCCGGGCUCAACCUGGGAAUUGCAUCUGUGACUGUAUAGCUAGAGUACGGUAGAGGGGGAUGGAAUUCCGCGUGUAGCAGUGAAAUGCGUAGAUAUGCGGAGGAACACCGAUGGCGAAGGCAAUCCCCUGGACCUGUACUGACGCU
rnacentral:rRNA from 1 species